GCUUGCACUGAUUGUCGGCGACCGGCGCACGGGUGCGUAACGCGUAUGCAACCUACCCAUUACAGGGGGAUAACACUGAGAAAUCGGUACUAAUACCCCAUAACAUCCAGGGAGGCAUCUUCUUGGGUUGAAAACUCCGGUGGUAAUGGAUGGGCAUGCGUUGUAUUAGUUAGUUGGUGGGGUAACGGCUCACCAAGACAACGAUACAUAGGGGGACUGAGAGGUUAACCCCCCACAUUGGUACUGAGACACGGACCAAACUCCUACGGGAGGCAGCAGUGAGGAAUAUUGGUCAAUGGACGCAAGUCUGAACCAGCCAUGCCGCGUGCAGGAAGACGGCUCUAUGAGUUGUAAACUGCUUUUGUACGAGGGUAAACGCAGAUACGCGUAUCUGUCUGAAAGUAUCGUACGAAUAAGGAUCGGCUAACUCCGUGCCAGCAGCCGCGGUAAUACGGAGGAUUCAAGCGUUAUCCGGAUUUAUUGGGUUUAAAGGGUGCGUAGGCGGUCGGAUAAGUUAGAGGUGAAAUCCCGGGGCUCAACUUCGGAAUUGCCUCUGAUACUGUUCGGCUAGAGAGUAGUUGCGGUAGGCGGAAUGUAUGGUGUAGCGGUGAAAUGCUUAGAGAUCAUACAGAACACCGAUUGCGAAGGCAGCUUACCAAGCUACUUCUGACGUUGAGGCACGAAAGCGUGGGGAGCAAACAGGAUUAGAUACCCUGGUAGUCCACGCAGUAAACGAUGAUAACUUGUUGUUCGGCGAAUACAGUGUGGGUGACUAAGGGAAAAGCGGAUAAGUUAUCCACCUGGGGAGUACGUUCGCAAGAAUGAAACUCAAAGGAAUUGACGGGGGCCCGCACAAGCGGAGGAACAUGUGGUUUAAUUCGAUGAUACGCGAGGAACCUUACCCGGGCUUGAAAGUUAGUGACGGAUCUUGAAAGAGGUCUUCCCUUCGGGGCACGAAACUAGGUGCUGCAUGGUUGUCGUCAGCUCGUGCCGUGAGGUGUCGGGUUAAGUCCCAUAACGAGCGCAACCCCUACCGUUAGUUGCCAGCAGGUCAAGCUGGGCACUCUGACGGGACUGCCGGUGUAAGCCGAGAGGAAGGUGGGGAUGACGUCA
rnacentral:rRNA from 1 species